rnacentral:rRNA from 1 species
AUGAAGGAUUGUAUCAGAGCAAUUGAUGGGAUGCAUGUUCCGAUUAGCAUAUCUCCGAGACUACAAGACCCAUAUCGCAAUAGAAAAGGAGCAUUAUUACAAAAUGUCAUGGUGGCAUGUAAUUUUGAUAAUCAAUUCAUCCAUGUCAGUGCGGCCUGGGAAGGAUAUGCAAAUACACCUAAUUUUGUUGCACCUUACCGAAAUGUCAGGUACCAUUUGAACGAGCAAGCUAAAUGCAACCAAAGGCCACAAAAUGCUAAAGAGCUAUUCAAUAUCAGGCAUGCACAACUACGUAAUCACAUCGAGCGCAUCAUUGGUGUUGUGAAGAAGCGUUUCCCAGUACUGAAGUCUGCUUCACAUUACCCAAUUGAAUCUCAACCUGAUAUUGUCAUAGCAUGUUGUGCACUACAUAACUUUAUUCGCAAUCACGAGGGGGGAGAAUAA